rnacentral:lncRNA from 1 species
GGGUUUAGUGUUUUGCUGACGACUCUAAAAAAAAAAAAAAAAUUUCUGUAACUACUAUUUUUUUAUAUAUAUUUUUUAAAGACAUAAUAUAACAAUAUUUUGUUUCUUUUUCUAAAAGAUACCAAAUUUGAAAUAAUGAAAUCUUAUUGCUUGGUUAACCUAGAGGUUCACCCUAAAAGGUGAAUCCAAAAAUAACUCUUUAGCUAAUAUAAGUAGCAGCAGUCUAAUAUUAUUUCUUAAACGAAAUUUCUAUCUUUUGAACUCUUAACUUG